AUAAAGUUAGUUAAAUAAUAAUCUAAGGUUGUCAACCUUAAGUUGCUAAUAAUUAGUACUUUUUA
rnacentral:tRNA from 2 species